GCCAGCAUGGCUCAGGGGUUGAGCAUCUACCUAUGAACCAGGAGGUCAGGGUUCGAUUCCCAGUCAGGGCA
rfam:Myotis davidii contig116527, whole genome shotgun sequence.